UACGAAGGGGGCUAGCGUUGCUCGGAAUUACUGGGCGUAAAGGGCGCGUAGGCGGCACUGUUAGUCAGGCGUGAAAUUCCUGGGCUCAACCUGGGGACUGCGCUUGAUACGGCAGAGCUAGAGGAUGGGAGAGGCUCGCGGAAUUCCCAGUGUAGAGGUGAAAUUCGUAGAUAUUGGGAAGAACACCGGUGGCGAAGGCGGCGAGCUGGUCCAUUACUGACGCUGAGGCGCGACAGCGUGGGGAGCAAACAGG
rnacentral:rRNA from 1 species